AGAGUUUGAUCCUGGCUCAGGACGAACGCUGGCGGCGCGCCUAACACAUGCAAGUCGAACGAGCGAGAGAGAGCUUGCUUUCUCGAGCGAGUGGCGAACGGGUGAGUAACGCGUGAGGAACCUGCCUCAAAGAGGGGGACAACAGUUGGAAACGACUGCUAAUACCGCAUAAGCCCACGGCUCGGCAUCGAGCAGAGGGAAAAGGAGCAAUCCGCUUUGAGAUGGCCUCGCGUCCGAUUAGCUAGUUGGUGAGGUAAUGGCCCACCAAGGCGACGAUCGGUAGCCGGACUGAGAGGUUGAACGGCCACAUUGGGACUGAGACACGGCCCAGACUCCUACGGGAGGCAGCAGUGGGGAAUAUUGCACAAUGGGGGAAACCCUGAUGCAGCGACGCCGCGUGGAGGAAGAAGGUCUUCGGAUUGUAAACUCCUGUUGUUGAGGAAGAUAAUGACGGUACUCAACAAGGAAGUGACGGCUAACUACGUGCCAGCAGCCGCGGUAAAACGUAGGUCACAAGCGUUGUCCGGAAUUACUGGGUGUAAAGGGAGCGCAGGCGGGAAGACAAGUUGGAAGUGAAAUCCAUGGGCUCAACCCAUGAACUGCUUUCAAAACUGUUUUUCUUGAGUAGUGCAGAGGUAGGCGGAAUUCCCGGUGUAGCGGUGGAAUGCGUAGAUAUCGGGAGGAACACCAGUGGCGAAGGCGGCCUACUGGGCACCAACUGACGCUGAGGCUCGAAAGUGUGGGUAGCAAACAGGAUUAGAUACCCUGGUAGUCCACACUGUAAACGAUGAUUACUAGGUGUUGGAGGAUUGACCCCUUCAGCGCCGCAGUUAACACAAUAAGUAAUCCACCUGGGGAGUACGACCGCAAGGUUGAAACUCAAAGGAAUUGACGGGGGCCGCACAAGCGGAGGAACAUGUGGUUUAAUUCGAUGAUACGCGAGGAACCUUACCCGGGCUUGAAUUGCAGAGGAAGGAUUUGGAGACAAUGACGCCCUUCGGGGCCUCUGUGAAGGUGCUGCCUGGUUGUCGUCAGCUCGUGCCGUGAGGUGUCGGCUUAAGUGCCAUAACGAGCGCAACCCCUCUCCUUAGUUGCCAUCAGGUUAAGCUGGGCACUCUGGGGACACUGCCACCGUAAGGUGUGAGGAAGGUGGGGAUGACGUCAAAUCAGCACGGCCCUUACGUCCGGGGCUACACACGUGUUACAAUGGCAGGUACAGAGAGACGGUUGUACGUAAGUACGAUCAAAUCCUUAAAGCCUGUCUCAGUUCGGACUGGGGUCUGCAACCCGACCCCACGACUCUGGAUUCGCUAGUAAUCGCGCAUCAGCCAUGGCGCGGUGAAUACGUUCCCGGGCCUUGUACACACCGCCCGUCAAGCCAUGAAAGCCGGGGGCGCCUAAAGUCCGUGACCGUAAGGAGCGGCCUAGGGCGAAACUGGUAAUUGGGGCUAAGUCGUAACAAGGUA
rnacentral:rRNA from 1 species